GAGCGCUCUGCCCGGGGAGCUGGCCCUGGUGCUGAAGAGCAAGCGCCCGCCCUUCCUCCUCCCGGGGGCCGAGCCCUGGCCGCAGCGUGUCGCGGAUGGCGGGUCCCCCGCCCCCCCGCCCCCCUCGCCCCCCCCGCCCCCCGGGGUCCCGGGGGGUGGGGGCGGGGGGGCGGGGCUCUGUCCUCUGCAGGCGCAUGCGCCGCUGUCGCCUGCCGCGGGGGCGGGGCGGCCGGCGGGGCGGGCGGCAGGGCUCCGGGCUCCCUUCCCUCGGCCCGUCCCCUCCCUCCACCCCGCCGGCCCCAUGCCCUGCCCGCCGGGCGCCCGGCCGCCGCUGCCUGGGAGCCCCCGCCGCCUCAGCGUUUCUCACAGUGUGAGUGCCGGGGUUUGGGGGGGGGGGGGAGAGGGGUGCAGCUCCCCUUCUGGCCGCCGCGGGGCGCUCGCCCGCCCAGUCCCCUCCGCGCCCCUCCGCGCCCCUCCGCGCCCCUCCGCGCCCGCCUUUCCCACGGCUGGGAGCCCCGGCUCGGGCUGCUCCUCUCUUCUCGCUCGACUUGGGCACGGAUAAGUGCUACUUCUAUGUGAUUUCAGCCAAAGGGAGACCCCUUCCUUCUUCCUUAUCUUCUAUGGAGAACUCAGACCCGACUUUUCCACCGACGCCUCCUGUUCUUUCCGUGGUCUUUGCCACCGCCUGGCGUUGUCCUUGAGUCUGAGGAAUGGUUGACAGGCUGACGGAGAGGGCUGUAAAGUCCUCUAACUAUUGGAAAAGCAAUGCCCGAAAGUACUUCAAUACUAAAUCAGUCCCAUUUUGACAUGGACCAAGUCAUUACUCGAAGACAAAUGCUGAGGCUAUAGACUUAUUUGUAUCGGCUGAAGUUGACGGACUGAGCUUUGGAAAUUUUCCAUGACGGGAAAAUAGCAAGAGGAAAAAAAAAAAAAGGCUUUCUUGGCACAGUUGCCGGCUUGUCCGACGCUCGCCGCCUUUGAACCUUGCAACGACACCGUAAGCUGGAUUCCAAAGUGAUUCUGAGCCUGAGAAACCUAAAACCAAAAGGUCCUUGGAAGGCUCGGGCCUUUACCCUCUCCAAAUCCGAGCUGCCACUUGGUCAAACUUAACAAAACUCAAUGGUGCGGAUCGAACACUUGGGGAACGAAGACGAAGGAGGUGCAGGUUCGUGGGCGGGAAAUGGAAAGUUGGGCUGAAAAUAGGGCUGUGCUUCCAAGAGAUCCAUCUCAUGGUUUAGAAGCUUCCUACAUCUGCUGAAGACAAGGGAGCCCAUUUUUCUCUCCAGGGCCUGGC
rnacentral:lncRNA from 1 species